GGACUAAUAGCUCAGUGGUAGAGCAUAUAUACCGGCAAUCAGAACGUCCCAUGUUCGAAUCCCGGUCAAUCCA